UUUCUUUUAGCCCGACAUGCUCUAGAUCAUUCCCUUGGUGGCCGGCUGUGACAAACAAAAUGGUUAAAAGGAGAUGAAACCCUAUAGUGUGAAGGAAACAUAAAGCUCACGCCUCAUCCAUCUGUCUUCAACGCCACCAUCGGCUUCAAUUCCAUUAGAUCAGGAUGGACAUCUGAUCACAAUGUAAUGUGUUGAAUUCACUAAUCUCAAAAGGCUACAUCUCAAACAACAUGGUUUUCCUACCAUAGAGAAAUCAGAUCAAGAUCUAGUUUCAGUCCAUUUUGCCUGGUGGAAGAAAAUGGCCCAAUUCUUCAUCAUUUUCAAUAAGCUUGUCAAUUUGUUAAUUGUGGAGGGUAAAUUUUGUUUCAGUACGAAUGAUCGGGUGCUUUAUGAUGACAUUGCUCAAAGCGAGAUAGAAGCUGCGUUGAGCCAUAUCGGAGCCUGUCGAUCUUCAAGUUGAACUACAUCGUGUCAUUGUUUUUGGAAGUCAUGGCUCGUGGUAAUAAGAUACGCAGGGUUCAAGAUAUGUUGUCUCAACCACCAGCUGCUCUUGAUAGGGAUGCAAGUAGGGUUGAGGAAUCAGUCCAUCCGACCCAUGAUCAGCAGAGAUAUAGGGAUGUAGCCCAGCCUGACUUAAUAGCUGAUAGGAUUGCCACCGAUGUUGCUUCUGCUCUACGCAAUACAGAUAAAGAUUGUAGUAUGGAGCGGGCUACUAAAUUAGGAGCUGAAGUAUUUACAGGCGCAGUUGAUCUAGUAGAAGCAGAAUCAUUGAUGACAGCUGAUCCAGUAGAAGCAGAAUCAUGGAUGGUGAGGAUUGAAAGAAUAUUUGAUGUGAUGGAUUGUCUUGAUGAUUGAAAAUUACAACUAGCUACUUUCUUGUUAGAAGGAUGUGCUUAUGAUUAGUGGAGGUCCGUAUAGAGUAAAUAUGUUGAUCCUUCUGUGAUCACGCGGGACGAGUUUAAAGAUGAUUUUAAUGAGCAUUUCUACCCUCGUUCUUACAAAAUUGACAAACAGAAUGAAUUUUUGAGAAUAGUACAGACAUCAACAGUGGCGGAGUAUCAGAAGAAAUUUCUAAAAUUAUCAAAGUAUGUUGUUGCUCUUGUAGCUGAUGAAGUUGAUAAAUGUAGAAGAUUUGACUAUGGCCUGAGAGAAGAAAUUAGAUCAGUGGUGAUUGCGUUUGGGUUUGAAAAUUUGGGUAAACUUGUAGAAGCAGCAUUAAGGGUUGAGAAAAGUUUGUCUGAACGAUAUGGUGGUCAACAACAAAAGAGACCGAAAAUUGGAAGCAGUAGUUAGACAUGGGCAGGAAGAUCUAUGACUAGGCCACCGAGGAGGGAUCGUAGUGGAGGUAGAUUAGGUGUUUCCACUUCUGGCAGUUUGAAGUCCAGAUCUCAUGGCAGUUAAGGCUUUGAGGUCGAGUCAGGGAUCAGUACAUCAGCCAGGGAGUAACUGUACUUAGACUCAGAGAUCUUCUCAGAGAUCAUACACUCCUGGAUAGAGUGAUAGCUCUGGUGUGGCCAGAUUUCCCCAAUACCAGUUGUGCAGGAAAUUUCACCCUGGUGAGUGUCUUAAGGGAAUUGGAGUGUGUUAUCAUUGUGGUCAGACGAGACACAUGAGGAGAGAGUGUCCAGUUCGUUUCCAGCAGGGUGGCAUAUCACGGGUUUUUUUGCAAUCGGGUGCUGGCAUUUCUAGAUAGAAUCAGAAUCAGAAUACUUUGGUAGGCAAAAUAGGUGCUACUCAGUCUGAUGCUGCUGGCAGCAGUGGUACUAGACAGAAAGGCCAGGAUGGACGAUCCAGAACUCAGGGAAGAGUGUUUGUAGUGACUCAGCAUGAUGCCGACGAGUCACUAGAUGUGGUUAUGGGUACGUUAACUAUUUUUGGCAAAAAGGCCCAUUCUUUAAUAGAUUUAGGUGAUACACAUUCAUUUAUAUCUUAUGCAUCUGUGAUUUAUGCGGACCAUAUGUCAGAAUCAUUAAAUAGUGAUUUGGUGGUAGCAACUCCUGUAGGAGAUUCACUUUUAACUAACAGUGUGUACAAAGAUUGCGUAAUUAGAGUAAAUGAUCAUGAGUUGAAAGCUAAUUUGAUUCUACUUGAUAUUCAUGAUUUUGACGUGGUAUUGGACAUGGAUUUUUUGUCUGUAAAUCAUGCAUUAGUUGAUUGUUUUCGUAAAGAAGUGGUGUUUUGAAGGUCAGGAUAGCCUGAAAUUGUUUUUCCUGAAGAUCUUCCAGGGUUAUAUCCUGAUAGGGAAAUCAAGUUUACUAUUUAUUUUAUUUCAGGGACUACCCCUAUUUCACAAUCACCUUACAGAAUGGUUCCAUCAGAGCUGAAGGAAUUGAAAGUUCAAUUGCAGGAUUUAGUUGACAAGGGUUUCAUUAGACUCAGUGUAUCUCCAUGGGGAGCUCGUCUUAUUUGUGAAUAAGAAAGAUGGCACAAUGAGAUUGUGUAUUGACUAUAGACAGUUGAAUAAAGUGACAGUCCGCAACAAGUAUCUGUUGCUUCGUAUUGAUGAUUUGUUUGACCAACUUAGAGGUGCCUCAGUAUUUUCAAAGAUUUAUUUACGUUCAGGGUAUCAUCAGUUCAGAAUUAGGGAUAUUGAUGUACCAAAAACUGCUUUUAGGUCACGGUAUGGCCAUUAUGAGUUUUUGGUGAUGCCAUUUGGGUUGACUAAUGCCCCUGCAGCGUUUAUGGACUUGAUAAAUAGAGCGCUUUGCCCAUAUUUAGACAAAUUUGUGAUUAUUUUUAUUGAUGAUAUCUUAGUUUAUUCUCGCAGUAGAGAUGAGUAUCUCGCAGUAGAGAUGAGUAUGUUGAGCAUUUAAGGAUUAUUUUACAGACUUUGCGAGAUAAAUAGUUGUAUGCUAAGCUCAACAGAUGUGAAUUUUGGCUGGAUGAAGUUGUAUUUUUGGGUAAUAUUAUCUCAGCUGAAGGUAUUUAUGUAGAUUCUUAGAAAAUUGAAGUAGUAACGAAAUGGGAACGCCCUACUAAUGUUAUAGAAGUAUGGAGUUUUCUUAGGUUAAUAGGUUAUUAUCGUCGAUUUGGAGAGGAAUUUUUCAAAAUUGCUCUUCCUUUGACUAGUUUGACUCGAAAGAACUCCAAAUUUGCGUGGACUGAUGAAUGUGAAAAGUGUUUUCAAGAGUUAAAGAAAAUAUUAGUUUCUGCUCCAGUACUUACUCUUCCAUCUUCAGGUAAAGAGUUUGUGAUUUAUAGUGAUGCUUCACGCCAAGGAUUGAAUUGUGUUCUAAUGCAGAAUGAGAAAGUUGUAGCUUAUGCUUCUAGACAAUUAAAGAAGCAUGAGUUAAAUUACCCAACUCAUGAUUUAGAGUUAGCUGCAGUAGUGUUGGCAUUGAAGAUUUGGAGACAUUAUCAUUAUGGUGAGAAAUGUCAAAUAUUUACUGAUCACAAAAGUUUAAAGUAUAUAUUUGAUCAGAAAGAACUGAAUCUAAGGCAAAGGAGAUGGCUGAAGUUGAUAAAAAAUUAUGAUUGUAAGAUUGACUACCAUCCAUGAAAAGCAAAUGUAGUUGCAGAUGCUAUCAAUAGAAAGACAAGUUCAUCCUCUCCAUCUAGUGCAGUUUAUGCUUCUUUGAUUUGUGAGUUCAAGAAGUUACACACUGAGCUGACAACUACUACUACAGGGAUGGUAUUAGCUCAUUUUCAGGUGAGGCCUACUUUGAUUGAUAAGGUUAGAGAAGCUCAAUCUCAAGACCAGACAUUGAGAAUAUGGAAAGCAGAAGUUAGUAUUGGGUUAAGAACCGAUUAUGUGAUUAGAGAUGAUGGGGGCAUUGGCUAUGGUAAUAGAUUAUGUGUUCCAAAUAUUUCAGAAUUGAAGAAAGAGAUUUUGGAAGAAGCAAACAGUUUUGCUUAUGCUAUGCAUCCAGGCAGUAUUAAAAUGUAUCAUACAUUGAAAGAUUAUUAUUGGUGGGUUGGUAUGGAGAGAGAGAUCAGAUUUUGUAUCCACAUGUCUUAUAUGUCAGCAGGUAAAGCCAGUUCGUUAGAAAACAGCAGGACUUUUACAGCCAUUGCCUAUCCCAAAAUGGAAAUGGGAACACAUUAUUAUGGAUUUUUUAUUUGGCCUUUCUCGUACUCAGAAUGGUCAUGAUGGAGUUUGGGUUAUCGUAGAUCGUUUGAUCAAGAUGGCCAAAUUUUUGCCAAUCAAAGCUACUUAUACUUUAAAUAAGUUGGCAAAGUUGUACAUGGAUGAAAUAGUGAGCUCUUACGGUACUCCAUUAUCUAUUGUGUCAGAUAGAGACCCUCGUUUUACAUCUAAAUUUUGGCCCAGUUUGCAGGAAGUCAUGGGUACUAAACUACAUUUCGGUAUAGCUUUUCAUCCUCAGACAGAUGGCCAGUCAGAGAGGACCAUACAGUUUCUUGAGGAUAUGUUGAGGGCUUGUGUUUUAAAGCUCAAGGGUAGCUGUGAUAUUCAUUUGUCAUUGAUGAAUAGCUAUCACUCUAGUAUAUAAAUGACUCCUUUUGAAGCCUUACAUGGUCGGAAGUGCAUGACACUAGUUUGUUGGGAUGAAGCUAGUAAGAGGAAGUUAGAAGGCUCGGAAUUGGUUCAAAUGACAUCCGAAAAUGUGAAAUUGAUCAAAGAAAAGUAAUGCAGCUCAAGAGAGAUAGAAAAGGUAUGCUGAUAGGCACAGGAACGAUCUUGAAUUUGUAGUUGGAGAUAAAGUAUUUCUUAAAUUGUCACCUUGGAAAGGGGUGUUGAGAUUUGGCAAGCGAGGAAAGUUGAGUCCACGAUACAUUGGACCCUAUGAGAUUACUGAGCGAAUUGGCCCAGUUGCAUACCGAUUAGAUCUGCUCGAUGAAUUAUCUCGGAUCCAUGAUGUUUUUAAUGUUUCCAUGCUUCACAAGUACAUUGCUGAUCAUUCUCGUGUUCUGGAGUCUCAACCAAUCCAGUUGAAAGAAAAUUUAACAUAUAUAGAAGAGCCCGUGAGAAUUUUAGACAAAAAGGUGCAAAUUCAGUGAAAUCAGACAGUUUCACUUGUUAAGGUACUUUGGCAGAAUCAGAUGGUAGAAGAGGCUACGUGAGAGAAUGAGGAUCAGAUGCGUGCUCAAUAUCCUCACUUAUUCAUUACUCAGUCAGUUGCCAGUUGAAUUUCGAGGACGAAAUUCUUUUAAGGAGAGUAACGUGAGACAAGCAGAGACCGUGAGAGAAGAAAGAAAAAAGAAAAGAAUAAAGGAAAAAGAAGAAGAAAAAGGAUGGGAGAAAAAAAAAAGAAAGGGAAGAAGAAAAGAGGUAAGGUUAAUUUCUUCAAGUUAGAAUGUAAUUUAUCCAUUGUUCCAAGUGAUAAAGGUGUGAUUUAUGUUAAAUUUUUAGGGUUUUAACUUGUAGUAAUAAAAUGUCAAAUUUAGGUGAUAUAUGUACGAUUUGGAGCUCAAGCUUGGAAUUAAUAAAGUUUCAGUUUCAGCAAGAUAGAAGCUGCGUUGAGCCAUAUCGGAGCCUGUCGAUCGGCGAGUUGAACUACAUCGUGUCAUUGUUUGUAUGUCUCAUCUCGUUAAUUCAUACAACACAUAUUUUCUGGGAUUGAUGUAUUUUGUUCAGAAAAUGUAUUAAGUCACAGGCUCGUUGCAUAUUUUGUGUAUGUUUUGAAAUGAAGUUGUUUGGUGGUAAAGAAGGGUAAAUUUCUUUUUCAGUAAAACUAUUUUGAAGAAUUGGUAUUUUGAGGGGCUGAUGUAUCAUGUUUUAAACUAUAUGUACAUGUUUAGAAUAUUUGAUUUUAUUUUCAGGUAGUUUUAGUCCAUUUUUCA